rnacentral:rRNA from 1 species
GACGAACGCUGGCGGCGUGCUUAACACAUGCAAGUCGAACGGAAAGGCCCUUCUUUUUUGGGGUGCUCGAGUGGCGAACGGGUGAGUAACACGUGAGUAACCUGCCCUUGACUUUGGGAUAACUUCAGGAAACUGGGGCUAAUACCCGAUAGGAGCUCCUGCUGCAUGGUGGGGGUUGGAAUGUUUCGGCGGUUGGGGAUGGACUCGCGGCUUAUCAGCUUGUUGGUGGGGUAGUGGCUUACCAAGGCUUUGACGGGUAGCCGGCCUGAGAGGGUGACCGGCCACAUUGGGACUGAGAGACGGCCCAGACUCGAACGGGAGGCAGCAGUGGGGAAUAUUGCACAAUGGGGGGAAGCCUGAGGCAGAAACGCCGCGUGCGGGAUGAGGGCCUUCGGGUUGUAAACCGCUUUCGCCUGUGACGAAGCGUGAGUGACGGUAAUGGGUAAAGAAGCACCGGCUAACUACGUG